rnacentral:misc_RNA from 1 species
GAUGAAGAACGUAGCGAAAUGCGAUAAGUAAUGCGAAUUGCAGAAUUCCGUGAAUCAUCGAAUCUUUGAACGCACAUUGCGCCCUUUGGUAUUCCAAAGGGCAUGCCUGUUCGAGCGUCAUUUGUACCCUCAAGCUUUGCUUGGUGUUGGGCGUCUUGUCUCUAGCUUUGCUGGAGACUCGCCUUAAAGUAAUUGGCAGCCGGCCUACUGGUUUCGGAGCGCAGCACAAGUCGCACUCUCUAUCAGCAAAGGUCUAGCAUCCAUUAAGCCUUUUUUUCAACUUUUGACCUCGGAUCAGGUAGGGAUACCCGCUGAACUUAAGCAUAUCAAUAAGCGGAGGA